rnacentral:rRNA from 1 species
UACAGAGGGUGCAAACGUUGCUCGGAAUCACUGGGCAUAAAGCGCAUGUAGGCGGUCUCCUAAGUCUGGUGUGAAAUCCCUCGGCUCAACCGGGGAACUGCAUUGGAUACUGGGAGGCUUGAGAGUUGUAGGGGUGGACGGAACUCCAGGUGGAGCGGUGAAAUGCGUAGAGAUGUGGAGGAACACCGAUGGCGAAGGCAGCCCCCUGGGCCGAAUACUGACGCUCAUGCACGAAAG